UACGAAGGGGCUAGCGUUGCUCGGAAUCACUGGGCGUAAGGGUGCGUAGGCGGGUCUUUUAAGUCAGGGGUGAAAUCCUGGAGCUCAACUCCAGAACUGCCUUGAUACUGAAGAUCUUGAGUUCGGGAGAGGUGAGUGGAACUGCGAGUGUAGAGGUGAAAUUCGUAGAUAUUGGGAAGAACACCGGUGGCGAAGGCGGCUCACUGGCCCGUAACUGACGCUCAUGCACGACAGCGUGGGGAUCAAACAGG
rnacentral:rRNA from 1 species